rnacentral:tRNA from 2 species
UGGAGAAGUACCCAAGAGGCCGAAGGGGCUCGCCUGGAAAGUGAGUAGGUCGUUAGUAGCGGCGCAAGGGUUCAAAUCCCUUCUUCUCCGU